GAUGAACGCUGGCGGCGUGCCUAAUACAUGCAAGUCGAGCGAACGGACGAGAAGCUUGCUUCUCUGAUGUUAGCGGCGGACGGGUGAGUAACACGUGGAUAACCUACCUAUAAGACUGGGAUAACUUCGGGAAACCGGAGCUAAUACCGGAUAAUAUUUUGAACCGCAUGGUUCAACAGUGAAAGACGGUCUUGCUGUCACUUAUAGAUGGAUCCGCGCUGCAUUAGCUAGUUGGUAAGGUAACGGCUUACCAAGGCAACGAUGCAUAGCCGACCUGAGAGGGGGAUCGGCCACACUGGAACUGAGACACGGUCCAGACUCCUACGGGAGGCAGCAGUAGGGAAUCUUCCGCAAUGGGCGAAAGCCUGACGGAGCAACGCCGCGUGAGUGAUGAAGGUCUUCGGAUCGUAAAACUCUGUUAUUAGGGAAGAACAUAUGUGUAAGUAACUGUGCACAUCUUGACGGUACCUAAUCAGAAAGCCACGGCUAACUACGUG
rnacentral:rRNA from 1 species